rnacentral:lncRNA from 1 species
UCCUGCGAUAUACAGCCUAGGUUCACAUUUGCAGAUGACAUUGCCUGGUAUAAUAGAGAAAGCUUAGCAAACCCAGAUGUGAGUUUGCAGUUUAUCACUGAUUGCUUACUGUCUUUGGUUGAGUACCCUUCUGUGUGCUUCAGUACUUUCCCAGAAGGCAAGAAAGAUACCUGACUGAGUGGGCCAUUGGUAAGGAUGCAGCUUUAGAAGAACCAGCCUAAAACAGAGCCUGAUACACAGGGACUUAAUGAAAGUAAUAAAAGGCCUACAAGGAACUGGCAGAAGCAGGGAACUGUAUGAUGCCACCAGGGAGGUCUCAGACCAUCCGGCCCACUACACCAGUCACAACGCAUGGACAAGUGAGUGCAAGACGUUUUGAGGCCUGCAAUGUGGCUAGUAGGUGAAAGUUGGAUGAUCUGAGGUCAGCAUCUGGAACUCUCCCGUGGAAAGGAGAAAUGACCCCCUACAAGUUGCCCUCUGAUCUCCACACAGAUGCCAUGCUCACACAUGUGAGCCCACUCGUGCCUGUGCACACAUGCA